GCUGGGAUCAGCUCCAGCUCCAGCUCCGAUUCGACCCCUAUCCUGGAAACUCCAUAUAUGUCAUGGGUGUGGGCCUAAAAGGAAAAAAAAAAAUUAAAACAACUACAUUUAGUAUUUAAAGUAAAGCUCCUAGAGUCCAUUAACACUGGGAGAAGAAACACAGCAAGAGUUUUGCUUACUUCAUUGAUGCUUUCUUAAAAUUCUUUUUGGCGCUUUUGUAAUAGUGAUGUUUAGUUCAUUCGUCAAGUAAUUAUGAACAAUAGAACAACUUUUUUUUUUCUAUCAAGGGUUUAUGAUGUGAGAGAAAUCAACCAAGGUUUAAAAAUAAUCUUUUCUGAGAACUAUAAAACAGUCAAUUUAUAAGUUUACUGAUGGAUUAUAUAAACCCUAAAAUUCUUUUUAGUCAAUACAUUUAAGUUCUUUUAUUGACCUAUAACCAUUGGAACCUAAAUGUAUUUAGGCUCUGUGUUCUAUUUACAUAAGGGAAACAGUGAAAGAGAAAGGAAAUAAAAAAGAACAAGGCUAUGAGAGGUAGAGAGAAACACACCAAGUAAACAAAGAUUAAUGAAGGAAAUACCCCCAUGUACACAACCAGCGCAUGUUUAUUGAGAGUCUCUUCUGUGCCUGGACCAGUGCUACAAAAAAGAGGAAGAAGGAAGGAAUAAAAGAAACAAACCAAGCCGGAAGCCCUGUGGUUUCUGAACCAGAGAGUGUCCAGAGUGAACUGCUCUCCUCUAAGGCUGUGCCCUCUGAGGUGGUGUGACCUGGAAGCUUGAACCUUCUGUUCGUCAACAUUUUGUUAAGAUCUGUACUUCAUCGUUCUCCCAAAGCAUCAUUAAACCUUCACAGACUCUUCCCAAAAUGGAAUAAUCCCAGCAAUAAAACUGCCCUGCGGGCUGCAGGCACUCUUGUCAGGCCCACACUCACAUGGCAGAUACUUAAGAAGAUUCAGAUGAUCUAGACCUGGGGCCAGAUUUGGUGCAUGGGCUGGCGAUUUGCCAGAUUAAGGUUCCCACUUCAGCUGAUGGCAAACAGCCCCUCGGGUGAGCCCCCUGCCCCCAACCUGUGUUCUCUACCUCCUGUGAGCAUACCCUCCUACAGUCCUCUCCUUUUGAGUGGGAGGUGGGACUUUUUUCCAACCAAUAAAAUAUGAAAAGCUGAGGAACCAUCACUCAGUGAUGAUGCUGUUUUAGCUAAGACUCUGUCUUGCCAGCAAACCAGCUCUAGAGACUUUCCUUGCUGGCUGGAGGAAGAGGCCACACUAGGGACACUUCGAUGGGAAGGACCUGCAGGAGGUCUCCGGGGACUGGGCACAGUCCCCAGCAACAGCCAGCAAGAGGAGCUACAACCGCAAGGAAAUAACUUCCGCCAACCCCAAGAGUGAGCUUAGAAGUUGCUCUUCCCCUAGGGAGCUUGCGGAUAAAAUAAUGCAAGGACACCUUGAUUAUAGCCUUAGGAGACCUUGAGCAGAGGAACCAGCCUGCUGUGCUCAGACACCUGCCCCAGAGAAACUGUGAGGUAGCCUAUGUGUGGUCUUCUCUUCAGCUGCUGAACUCGUGAUAAUCUGUUACACAGGCGUAGAUGACAUACCUGUUCAAGGGAACCGUCACUUCCAGUUUAAAGCAUGACGAUUUUCCUUAUUGCCUUUGCAUUUUGAUUCAUAGGUAGAAAGUCCUUCCUUGCAUCUUAAAGAGGAAUUCAUCCAUGGUGUCUUCUAGGGCUUGUACGGUUUCCUCCUUCUCCUUGACAUCUCUCAUCUACUCGGAGUUUAUUCUUACGUCCAGUGUGAGAUACAGAUCUAAUUUUACCUCUUUUUCUAAAUUGCUCUCCAAUUUCUGAUCUCUUCCUUCUGACUGUUCUGCUUUUCACACCACUGCCUGACCCGUCUUCCCAAAACAGCUUCCCUCACAGGCUUCUCCUACUCAGUGGCCACAAAAAGCUUCUUGUCACCUGCUGCAUCGAGUCCAAAGUUUUCAUGCCAAAAAAAUCAAAGUCCUCCAUAAUAUGUACCAUCUACCAUGUUCAGUCCAUCCAUUCUUUUAGACUUAAGUAUUUAAGAG
rnacentral:lncRNA from 9 species